ACGAACGCUGGCGGCAGGCCUAACACAUGCAAGUCGAACGCUCGUAGCAAUACGAGAGUGGCAGACGGGUGAGUAACACGUGGGAACCUUCCCUAUGGUUCGGAAUAGCUCAGGGAAACUUGAGGUAAUACCGGAUAAGCCCUUACGGGGAAAGAUUUAUCGCCAUUGGAUGGGCCCGCGUCGGAUUAGCUAGUUGGUGAGGUAACGGCUCACCAAGGCGACGAUCCGUAGCUGGUCNGAGAGGAUGAUCAGCCACACUGGGACUGAGACACGGCCCAGACUCCGUACGGGAGGCAGCAGGUGGGGAAUAUUGGACAAUGGGCGCAAGCCUGAUCCAGCCAUGCCGCGUGAGUGACGAA
rnacentral:rRNA from 1 species